rnacentral:rRNA from 1 species
ACAUCUAGCAUUACCAGUAUUAGAGGCACUGCCUGCCCAGUGACAUUAGUUUAACGGCCGCGGUAUCCUGACCGUGCAAAGGUAGCAUAAUCAUUUGUUCCUUAAUUAGGGACUUGUAUGAAUGGCCCCACGAGGGUUUGACUGUCUCUUACUUUUAAUCAGUGAAAUUGACCUUCCCGUGAAGAGGCGGGAAUAUAAAAAUAAGACGAGAAGACCCUAUGGAGCUUAAAUUAAAAUGUUCAACAAAAUUUUAACUUAAUCCAACAGGAAUAACAACAUUUUAACUGAACAAUAAAUUUUGGUUGGGGUGACCUCGGAGCAUAACAAAACCUCCGAGCAGUUUAACUUAGACUUACUAGUCAAAGUGAUAUAAUCUAUUGAUCCAAUCAUAUUGAUCAACGAAACAAGUUACCCUAGGGAUAACAGCGCAAUCCUAUUUAAGAGUUCAUAUCGACAAUAGGGUUUACGACCUCGAUGUUGGAUCAGGACACCCAAAUGGUGUAGCAGCUAUUAAAGGUUCGUUUGUUCAACG